rnacentral:rRNA from 1 species
UACGUAGGGUGCAAGCGUUGUCCGGAAUUAUUGGGCGUAAAGAGCUCGUAGGCGGUUUGUCGCGUCUGCUGUGAAAACUCGGGGCUUAAUUCCGGGCCUGCAGUGGGUACGGGCAGACUAGAGUGCGGUAGGGGAGACUGGAAUUCCUGGUGUAGCGGUGAAAUGCGCAGAUAUCAGGAGGAACACCGGUGGCGAAGGCGGGUCUCUGGGCCGUAACUGACGCUGAGGAGCGAAAGCGUGGGGAGCGAACAGG